AGAACGAACGCUGGCGGCAUGCCUAACACAUGCAAGUCGAACGAAGGCUUCGGCCUUAGUGGCGCACGGGUGCGUAACGCGUGGGAAUCUGCCCCUUGGUUCGGAAUAACAGUUGGAAACGACUGCCAAUACCGGAUGAUGACGAAAGUCCAAAGAUUUAUCGCCAAGGGAUGAGCCCGCGUAGGAUUAGCUAGUUGGUGAGGUAAAGGCUCACCAAGGCGACGAUCCUUAGCUGGUCUGAGAGGAUGAUCAGCCACACUGGGACUGAGACGACCGGCCCAGACCUCCGUACGGGAGG
rnacentral:rRNA from 1 species